rnacentral:rRNA from 1 species
AUGAACGCUAGCUACAGGCUUAACACAUGCAAGUCGAGGGGCAGCAUCAUCAAAGCUUGCUUUGAUGGAUGGCGACCGGCGCACGGGUGAGUAACACGUAUCCAACCUGCCGACAACACUGGGAUAGCCUUUCGAAAGAAAGAUUAAUACCGGAUGGCAUAGUUUUCCCGCAUGGGAUAAUUAUUAAAGAAUUUCGGUUGUCGAUGGGGAUGCGUUCCAUUAGGCAGUUGGCGGGGUAACGGCCCACCAAACCAACGAUGGAUAGGGGUUCUGAGAGGAAGGUCCCCCACAUUGGAACUGAGACACGGUCCAAACUCCUACGGGAGGCAGCAGUGAGGAAUAUUGGUCAAUGGACGAGAGUCUGAACCAGCCAAGUAGCGUGAAGGAUGACUGCCCUAUGGGUUGUAAACUUCUUUUAUACGGGAAUAAAGUUAGCCACGUGUGGCUUUUUGUAUGUACCGUAUGAAUAAGGAUCGGCUAACUCCGUGCCAGCAGCCGCGGUAAUACGGAGGAUCCGAGCGUUAUCCGGAUUUAUUGGGUUUAAAGGGAGCGUAGGCGGGUUGUUAAGUCAGUUGUGAAAGUUUGCGGCUCAACCGUAAAAUUGCAGUUGAUACUGGCGACCUUGAGUGCAACAGAGGUAGGCGGAAUUCGUGGUGUAGCGGUGAAAUGCUUAGAUAUCACGAAGAACUCCGAUUGCGAAGGCAGCUUACUGGAUUGUAACUGACGCUGAUGCUCGAAAGUGUGGGUAUCAAACAGGAUUAGAUACCCUGGUAGUCCACACAGUAAACGAUGAAUACUCGCUGUUGGCGAUAUACAGUCAGCGGCCAAGCGAAAGCAUUAAGUAUUCCACCUGGGGAGUACGCCGGCAACGGUGAAACUCAAAGGAAUUGACGGGGGCCCGCACAAGCGGAGGAACAUGUGGUUUAAUUCGAUGAUACGCGAGGAACCUUACCCGGGCUUAAAUUGCAACUGACUGAACCGGAAACGGUUCUUUCUUCGGACAGUUGUGAAGGUGCUGCAUGGUUGUCGUCAGCUCGUGCCGUGAGGUGUCGGCUUAAGUGCCAUAACGAGCGCAACCCUUAUCGAUAGUUACUAGCAGGUCAUGCUGAGGACUCUAUUGAGACUGCCGUCGUAAGAUGUGAGGAAGGUGGGGAUGACGUCAAAUCAGCACGGCCCUUACGUCCGGGGCUACACACGUGUUACAAUGGGGGGUACAGAAGGCAGCUACACGGCGACGUGGUGCUAAUCCCGAAAGCCUCUCUCAGUUCGGAUUGGAGUCUGCAACCCGACUCCAUGAAGCUGGAUUCGCUAGUAAUCGCGCAUCAGCCACGGCGCGGUGAAUACGUUCCCGGGCCUUGUACACACCGCCCGUCAAGCCAUGAAAGCCGGGGGUACCUGAAGUACGUAACCGCGAGGAGCGUCCUAGGGUAAAACUGGUGAUUGGGGCU